rnacentral:lncRNA from 1 species
CUAAAAUCAAAAUGCAUAUGAAUUUCUAUCCAUCAAAUAGUGCAGUUAUUUUAAUGUGUUUGUGGGGUACUUGACAUGUCAACGUGUUAUUAAUAGAUUGGUCUCCUGAACAAUGGUGAGAUGUUUUGACUGUGGCAAAAUAAAUAACCAGCUUUGACUUGUGGGCUGCUGGAGCCUGGGGGCUUCAGCCAUCAGGGCUCCAAGGAUGUUGUGGUGGAGCUGUCGAAGAUAAAAGCUGACAGAGAAAGCUGAAAACAAAAAGAUAUUAGUGUAGUUUUGGGCAAAACAGAACUGUUGGCACCAUCCUGGUUAAAUUCUGAUGUGAUUAACUGCCUCUACUGCUCUGUCUCAUUUCUAUUUAUUUCAGAGAUCUCUCUGGGAUGCUGUAGGAUGGCUCCUCAUCCUCCUGCUAGCCAGGAUUGCCUUUCAACAUCAGCUGAAGGACCCACAAUAAGGUUUUGGAAGCACA